rnacentral:lncRNA from 1 species
CCCAGAAAGGCUGUUCAACUGAGGGGAAGAGCCAAGAAGCGGCCACUUGUCUAGAUCGCCUGAUACUUGGGGGUGGCAGCAAAGAGUUUAUCCUGAGUGUUUUGUUCGCAGAUUGCUGCCAAGGAGGGAGAGACGGGCAAGCCAGAGUUCCUGUUGGAUGAAAAGGGGAAAGCGCCCACUUCUGCCUCGUCAGCUGUCCAGCCGCCUUCAGGGCCGUGUGAUCCCAAAUGUUCAAAAGCUCAGAAAGGAGAGAAGGGAGACCGAGGCCCACCUGGAGAUGUGAACUUGGUGGGCCUGCAAACUGGUGGAGGUUACGAUCCUUUUAGUUUUGCCACCAAAGGGGAGAAAGGAGAACGGGUAAGGAGCAGGCCAAGACCUGUGAGAUACUUCUGCUGUUUUUCCAAAAUGUU